CCAUACCACUACCACCCUGAAAGCACGCAAUCUCGUCUGAUCUUAGAAGCUAAGCAAGGUCAGGCCUGGUUAGUACUUGGAUGGGAGAAACAAUCAAUUAUUCACUUUAAGUGGGUGAAUGACAUGGAAUGUG
rnacentral:rRNA from 1 species